GAUGAACGCUGGCGGCGUGCCUAAUACAUGCAAGUCGAGCGAACAGAUGAGGAGCUUGCUCCUCUGACGUUAGCGGCGGACGGAUGAGUAACACGUGGAUAACCUACCUAUAAGACUGGGAUAACUUCGGGAAACCGGAGCUAAUACCGGAUAAUAUAUUGAACCGCAUGGUUCAAUAGUGAAAGACGGUUUUGCUGUCACUUAUAGAUGGAUCCGCGCCGCAUUAGCUAGUUGGUAAGGUAACGGCUUACCAAGGCAACGAUGCGUAGCCGACCUGAGAGGGGGAUCGGCCACACUGGAACUGAGACACGGUCCAGACUCCUACGGGAGGCAGCAGUAGGGAAUCUUCCGCAAUGGGCGAAAGCCUGACGGAGCAACGCCGCGUGAGUGAUGAAGGUCUUCGGAUCGUAAAACUCUGUUAUUAGGGAAGAACAAAUGUGUAAGUAACUAUGCACGUCUUGACGGUACCUAAUCAGAAAGCCACGGCUAACUACGUG
rnacentral:rRNA from 1 species